UACGAAGGGGGCUAGCGUUGCUCGGAAUCACUGGGCGUAAAGCGCACGUAGGCGGCUUUUUAAGUCAGGGGUGAAAUCCUGGAGCUCAACUCCAGAACUGCCUUUGAUACUGAGAAGCUUGAGUCCGGGAGAGGUGAGUGGAACUGCGAGUGUAGAGGUGAAAUUCGUAGUUAUUCGCAAGAACACCAGUGGCGAAGGCGGCUCACUGGCCCGGUACUGACGCUGAGGUGCGAAAGCGUGGGGAGCAAACAGG
rnacentral:rRNA from 1 species